ACAGACGUGACAGAAAUACUUAACAGCCUUAACUUGCAGCUACAAGGCGAGGGGAAACUCAUUUGCGACAUGUAUUCACACAUAAAAGCAUUUGAGGUGAAAUUAGCGCUGCUUUUGGAACAAGUGAAAAAGCGCAACUUCGUCCAUCUUCCUGCUACCCAAAACCUGUCGACAGAGAACCCAGCGGUCCCGUUCCCAGCUGAAAAGUGCGUGGAAGCACUGGAAAUGCUGAAGGCGGAGUUCGGUGUGCGAUUCAGUGAACUACAUGUUCAUGCAAAAGAAAUCCGUCUUUUUCAGAACCCCUUUGUUGCCGACAUUGAUGAAGCCCAGCCUUCAUAUCAGUUUGAGUUGGCUGAGUUACAGAACUGUGAUGUUCUGAAAGACGCAUUCAAGCCCAACAGUCUCAUUGACUUCUAUGCCGCCCUCCCAAACGACACAUAUCCAAACAUCAAAAAAACACGCAAUGAAAAUGUCCACAGUUUUUGGCAGCACGUAUAUCUGCGAGAAAACCUUUUCUCGCAUGAAACUGCUGAAAACUCAGAUGAGAUCAAGAUUGACAGAUGAACAUUUGCAUCAGUGCUUGAGACUGGCUGUAACUAGAAUGGAACCUGAUAUUCAACUUCUCACCAGCCAGAUGCAGGCCCACAGUUCACACUGAUGAACAUACAUAGGGAAGUUGAUGAGAGAGAGCUGCAAACAGCGGUGUCUACAAGCCUACUGGAACCUACAAAAGGAUUAUAAGCAAGGAACACAAGAACUUUAAGAGACUGCUCAUAUGUGUCAGAGAGAUUCUGCUCUGACAACUGAGCUGAACUUUUAUCUGUUAAGAUUGUGCAUGGCACAACAGAAAG